AACGAACGCUGGCGGCAUGCCUAACACAUGCAAGUCGAACGAGACCUUCGGGUCUAGUGGCGCACGGGUGCGUAACGCGUGGGAACCUGCCCUUAGGUUCGGAAUAACUCCCCGACAGGGGUGCUAAUACCGGAUAAUGUCUUCGGACCAAAGAUUUAUCGUCUUUGGAUGGGCCCGCGUUGGAUUAGCUAGUUGGUAGGGUAAAAGCCUACCAAGGCGACGAUCCAUAGCUGGUCUGAGAGGAUGAUCAGCCACACUGGGACUGAGACACGGCCCAGACUCCUACGGGAGGCAGCAGUGGGGAAUAUUGGACAAUGGGCGAAAGCCUGAUCCAGCAAUGCCGCGUGAGUGAUGAAGGCCUUAGGGUUGUAAAGCUCUUUUACCCGGGAUGAUACUGACAGUACCGGGAGAAUAAGCUCCGGCUAACUCCGUG
rnacentral:rRNA from 1 species